rnacentral:rRNA from 1 species
UACAUGGGCUCCAAGCGUUAUCCGGAUUUAUUGGGCGUAAAGGGUCUCCAGGUGGUCUGGUUAGUCGGGCGUAAAUUCCGCUGCUUAACGGCGGAGCUGCGUUCGAAACGGCCAAACUCGAGGGAUGGAGAGGGAGUAGGAACUCACGGUGUAGGGGUGAAAUCCGUUGAUAUCGUGGGGAACACCAAAGGCGAAGGCAAACUCCUGGCCAUUUCCUGACACUCAUGAGACGAAAGCGUGGGGAGCGAACAGG